UACGUAGGGGGCGAGCGUUGUCCGGAAUUAUUGGGCGUAAAGAGCUCGUAGGCGGUCUGUCGCGUCUGCUGUGAAAUCCCGGGGCUCAACUCCGGGCUUGCAGUGGAUACGGGCAGACUAGAGUUCGGUAGGGGAGACUGGAAUCCUGGUGUAGCGGUGAAAUGCGCAGAUAUCAGGAGGACACCGGUGGCGAAGGCGGGUCUUUGGCCGAGU
rnacentral:rRNA from 1 species